rnacentral:lncRNA from 1 species
AUGGCAAACGGCCCGCCCACCAGAAAACAACUAAGAGCCCUGGGUACGAGCUCCCAAGAAGCCUGGCAGGCAACCUUAGGUCGGCACCCACACACCUCUCUGCCCCUCGGCUCACCACUGCAUGGUAGGAGUAGGAGGGGCUCCCGGAAAGCUCCUCCCCCUAGCCCUGUCCAAGAGCAGGGCGGGUGCAAGUGGGAGGUGGCACGAAGCCGGAGGAGGGGAAAGCCCGCCCAGGUGACUGAAGCCGGAGGCGGGGACACAGUCCGGGAAGGGGUCCACCGUGCGGCAGGGGAGAGGGAGCCCCUCGGCUCGUCAGAGACUCGGAGCGGACCAGAGAAAAUGAAAGAGCACCUCCUUCAGGUUUCUGCUUCUGACAGACAUCUGAAUAUCAGUUGCGGACUACUAGCUGUUCCAAGUAGACGGCGAGCCCUGGACUUGCUAUGGAUGUGAACCAGUCUGCUGAUGUGGACACCCCCUAUCUCUACAACAGUGUCUGCUAACCAGAAGCCCCUGAUGGAUUCCCCAUUGCCUAAAAUUCCUUUUUGCUUUUGACUAGCAUUUCAACCUUCUGGGGUCCCUAACUUCGUCCCAAAGUCAGCAGGAAGCAGUUUGGAAAGAAAUUUCGCCGUCCAUUUUCCCUGGUUGGAAUGCUAAGUCAAAAGGAACUCCCUUGCAUGGGGAUUCGAAACGACAGGGGAUGCUCACUAGAAGCCUUCAUCCUCAUGGGACAAGAUUCAGGUAACCAGAGGAUGGCAAAAGGGCUCCACCAGUAUCACCUCUAUGCCUCUCCUUAUUUCCUUUACAGCGUAUUAGGGAAAUCAACCCGAUAUAAGAGGGAGCCAAUAUCCUUUACCGUGGCCCUAUUAUUAGGAGGGAUAACAGUGGGGGGCAUAGCAGCCGGCAUAGGGAAUUAAUCAUUUCAAACUUCUACAGCAAGCCAUGCACACAGAUAUCCAGGUCCUAAAAGAGUCAGUCAAUGCACUCGAGAAAUCCUUAACAUCACUCUCUGAGGUAGUCCUAUACAGACCAUACAGGAAUAGUUAGAGGCAGCAUGGCCAAGCUUAGAGAAAGACCUAACCAGAGACCUCUGAAUGGAAGAUUCCAUUCAGUUACAAGAGAAAUGGGGGAAUGAAAGACCCGCUCGAAAUGCCCCUGAGCCCCCUGCCCCGAAGCUGCCGGGGCCUCCCAAGCCUUCACCCCGGCAGGGCUCGCGCCCCCGGCCCGCCCCGCCUGGCACCGAGCCUCGGGGCUGGGGCCGAGCAACGAGCACCAGAUGGGCAGGCCCGAGAACGAGCACCAGGUAGGCUGGGGCCGAGCAACGAGCACCAGGUGGGCCGGCACGAGGGCGAGCACCAGGUGGGCCGGCACGAGAACGAACACCAAGGGAGCCGGCCUGGAGCCCUGCCCCUGAGCCCCGCCCGAUGAGAAACACUCUGUCCCAAGGUCUCCGCCCCCAAGGUCAGCCAUCUGGACGCGGAGGGAGGGGGAAUUGAGUCUGUUGUACCAGACACCAGACCUUGAGAAUAUGCUGAUCUGGAAUGGCUCUGUGUCUUAUUUGAACCAUCCAAUAGAAAUGAUUCUGUAUUUCGCCUCAUUUGAAAGACUCUGUGUUUCACCUCAUUUGAAUAACUCUGUACUUUGCCUCAUUUGAAUAACCCUGUAUAGCGCCUCAUAUACAUUGACCAAUGGGAAUAGCUCUGUACAAUGCCUCAUUAGAAUUAUCCAAUAGAAUCCCUGCUCCUAGCUUGCGCCUUUUUCCCUAUAUAAGGACCCCUUUCCCUUGGCUCGGGGCGCUUAGCCACACAAAGGCUAAGUCGCCCCGGGUACCCGAGUCUCCAAUAAAGCCUCUUGUUUUUUGCA